rnacentral:rRNA from 1 species
UACGUAGGGGGCGAGCGUUGUCCGGAUUUAUUGGGCGUAAAGAGCGUGUAGGCGGCCAGGUAGGUCAGCUGUGAAAACUCGAGGCUCAACCUCGAGAUGUCGGCUGAAACCAUCUGGCUAGAGUCCGGAAGAGGAGAAUGGAAUUCCCGGUGUAGCGGUGAAAUGCGCAGAUAUCGGGAAGAACACCCGUGGCGAAGGCGGUUCUCUGGGACGGUACUGACACUAAGGCGCGAAAGCGUGGGGAGCGAACAGG